rnacentral:RNase_MRP_RNA from 2 species
CAUAACCAAAGAAUCGUCACCAAUCGAAGCUUACAAAAAAGUUGUUUGUCAACUCAUUUCAUGCUUUGGGUCGAAAGUCUCCCACCACUACGUAUGCGGAAAGCGCAAUGAGAUUUAAAAAUUUUAAAUUCUUUAAAUCAACUCAUUAUAUGAUGUGGAGGUGAUCGUUGCUCGUCUUCGGUUUCUCUCCGCAUCAUAUCGUCGUCCUGGAGCAAGCUCUGUCUUUGCACCAGUGAUUUCUUCGGUACUGAAAUCUUUUCAUUUAGAUUUCAAACCAUAGUUAUGACGAUUGUCCAAGUCCGUCUCUAUCCUUUCUUUAGGGGAUAGGGUUUGCUUGGGUAACCCAAUGGAGCUUACUUUUCAUGGUUCAU